rnacentral:rRNA from 1 species
CCUACGGGCGGCUGCAGUAGGGAAUUUUUCACAAUGGGCGAAAGCCUGAUGCAGCAAUGCCGCGUGAAUGAUGAAGGUCUUAUGGAUUGUAAGAUUCUUUUAUUUGGGCAGAAACACUAAAGUAGUAAAUGACUUUAGUCUGACUGUCCCAUUUGAAUAAGUAUCGGCUAACUAUGUGCCAGCAGCCGCGGUAAUACAUAGGAUGCAAGCGUUAUCCGGAUUUACUGGGCGUAAGACGAGCGCAGGCGGGUUAACAAGUGUGUUAUGAAAGGCUGUUGCUUAACGAAAGUUUGUAUCAAAAACUGGUAAUCUAGAGUGUAGUAGAGAGUGGUGGAAGUCCAUGUGGAGCGGUGGAAUGCGUAGAGAUAUGGAAGAACACCAGUGGAGAAGGCGAGAACUUAGGCUAUCACUGACGCUUAGGCUCGAAAGUGUGGGGAGCAAAUAGGAUUAGAUACCCUAGUAGUC